UAUGAGGAGCCGCCAGAGACUUCCCUGCUCCCGUGUUGUUACCCCGAGGAACCCCCGGAGCAGAUUUGGCCAGACUUCCCCGAGGAACUGCCGGAUCGACCUCCCCACCCCAGCCCGGGCUGCGAGGAGCCCAUGGUGUUGGACUUCCCGGGAGCAGACGCCGCGGAACAGGUUGGGCAGAUUAUAGGAGAAAAUUGGUGCAGGAGAAAGAUCCCUGAAACAUCUAAGCUUCGGGGCAAAUAAAGAGAUUGGCCAGGGAAAAGGGAGGACACAAGUUGGGAGUCGCAUCUGUUUUCCUCAGGCCUGUUGGGCCUAGAAUGCUGAAAUUUCCCCAAUACAGGGCGACUCUACUCCAGAAACCAACACAAGGUAAACCUGGGCAAUUACCCCAAGUUGCUCAGCAGGGGACAGAGUGCCCGGAGGACAUACAGACAUGGUGGUGCCCAGCGAAAUUAGCCAAACUUGGUUCAAUCAGGGGCAGUAUUCUACACGCCAAAAAGGGUAAAAGAAAAGAAUUGUGUGUGCCACCCAAUGCUGAUGGCCAGUGUAAAACAAUUAGCUGGCACAGUUUAUCUAGUAUUAGCUUUAGCGUGCAUGGACACAAGCCAUGGUUAAAGCCAACCACGUCACUAACCAGUUACCAAACCUAUUGAAAUCUCUGGGGUAGACAGGACCCAGUGCUAAAAAGACACGAACACUGUGCUAUAUGAAGCUACUUCAAAUUAAGUGCAGCUUUUAAAACAUACCUACCUAGCCCCUUACAACUAGCACAAUUCUUCACUUUAUCCAUUAAGUCAGAAAGAGUAUUUAGCACCCUGCCACUUAAUGCCAAGUGUUACUUGUUUUCAAUAUGAAAACAUUACUUUUGAAGGCUUUACUCUAUGUCACUGGGCCAGUACUGACCUGUGUAUUCUAAAGCCAAUGGGAGCUGAGAGCCCCAGUCACAGUACUGAGCACAGAAAAUCAUAGCACUUGCAAGCCUGAAUUCUGAACUGAGAUGAAGAGUCUUGACAAGGUUCUUUUUCAUUGAUGUGUUUCUCCUCUACGUAGGUACUUAAUCCUAGAUCCAGCUAGGGGUGCUGAUGCAUUUCUAAACGUACCAGUGAUCAAUAGGGAGCUUGUUAGGUUGAUGUCUCAGAUUCUCCAGUUAACCGUCCAUAACAUUUCCAAUUUAAGUGGCUGAUUAUGGGAGAAAAUAUAAUAAACGACAGAAUUGUGACUUCCCAAAGGAGACACAGCAAACAGGAGCUACUUCGAAAAAUCCGAUUUUAUUUUUUAAAUGGAAAAGACCUGUCAAUUUGUUUAAGUGGAUGUUUCUCUUUCCAGUCGUAGUCUCAAAGGUCACUGUUUUAACAUUGCUCAGAACC